UCGGGGCGCGCGGGAGGACGGCAUAAGCGAUAUUGGGUUUUAUUAAGUAUGAAUGCAGCGUCUGACAGCAAACACCGUAUUUCCCGCGCGCCGCUCGCUUGUCCCACAUUCACGAACAUUACAACAAAUGUAAAUAGUGACACAAUUAACUUAUUGAUUCAAGGUUAAAAUUGGACAGAACAAUAUCAGGUUAGGGAUUUAAAAGUUACAUACAAGCAAAGGAGGAUAGACGGUUACAGUAAAAAACGGGCGGUUAAAACAGUGGAAGUGUACGAGGAAGCCAAGGUCAAGGGAUGAGUUCCCCAAGCGCUGACCAGACCUAGCCUAUUGCUUUCGUGCCGCAAACAGACAGGUUACGAAGAGGAGGAGGCAGGUCAUUCCAGCACCUAGUGGCGCAGAACCUAAAGCUUCCUCGGAAACUCACCGUUCUAUGUAUUGGCAUUCUAAGUUUUAUCAAUGACGCUCUAGUGACAUGCUCACUAUCAUUAUUUCCUAACCACUGUAAUUUAUGAUAGAGGUAAGGUGGAACCUGGUAUUUUAUAGUGCCAAAAAGUAACGUAGCGAAAUGUAAUUGCAUACGAUAAUUCAUUUUUAAGAUGUUAGCAUUAUUUAAAUAUGGUGUGAUAUGUGUACGUGGCGGUAUUUUAAAGCAGUAGCGAGCGCAGGCGUUCUGGACUCGUUGGAUGAUUUUUUUUGUACGUUCAAGUAAACGGGGCCCUAUAACUACAUCUGCAUAAUUAAAUUUAGAAAGAACUAACGCCUCACAAAGUCUAAUGCGUACUUUGGUAGAAAUGGAGUCUCUAAUAUUAUAAAGAAUUUUUAACCUAUAAAAACAGUUUUUGGCAAUAUUAUUUACAUGCUUUCAAAACGAAGUUCCUCGUCAAAUAGAACACCUAGGUUGCGCGCUUCAGUCACCCUUUGUAUACGUACACCUUUUAUAUCAAUAUUUGGAUCACAAUUACUAAUAAUUUGAAUUUGCCGCUCUCUACCAAGUAUCAUGUAUUUAGUUUUGUUAGCGUUCAUUUCUAGCGUGUUUGAAAUUGACCAACGGGCUAUACGAUCCAAAUCUUUGUUGAGUUGUUGCAAAGCUGCUUGUACCUUACAUGGCUUAAAAGAAAUAUACAACUGCAGAUCAUCAGCAUACAAGUGAUAGUUGCAGUGAUUAAUUUGUUUUACAAUAUCAGUUGUAUAAAUCGUAAAUAAAAUUGGUCCUAAAAUAGAGCCUUGUGGUACUCCUCUAGUUACAUGCCUUAUGUCUGAUUUAGCAACACUCCCAUCUUCUGACUUAAUCUCUACGUAUUGGCUGCGGCAACACAUAUAACUCGCAAACCAUUGUACAGUUUUGUCGUCGAACCCAUAAUAUGACAGCUUUGAUAUCAACAAUGGAAUGUUUAUGGUGUCAAACGCACGAGAGUAGUCUAGGAGUACUAGUAUAGUACCCUCGCCCCUGUCUCGAGCAGAUAGGAUAUCAUCGACAACGUCUGCUAAAGCAGUCGUAGUCCCUCGAUUUUUCCUAAAUCCUGAUUGUUUAUCUGGCAAAAUUUUAUUUAACUCCAAAAAGUCUCUUAGUUGAUUGCAUACAACUUUUUCAAGAAUCUUGGACAAACAUGGUAGAAUGCUUAUUGGACGUAAAUCUUUAAAUUCUAAGGGCGUGUCGAUCUUAGGUAUAGGUCUUACAAUAGCUUUGCACCAAAGAUCUGGGAAUUUGGAUGUUAAUAUGGAGGAGUUGACGAUUGCAGUAAUUACCUUUAUUGUGUAUUGCAGGGUUGGUAAUAUCAUGUCCAGAGAGAUCCCAUCUGCCCCGAUUGCAUUAGAAGUUAAUGUUUUAAUAAUUUUAAAAAUUUCGGAUUCUGUAACUGUUUUCAAGUAAAAGCUUGCGUCACUAAAUUUAUUGCGUUGAAAAUAUUCAAUAACUAAUCGAUCCGCAUUUAGACUACCGGGAAUUGCAAGGAAAAAAUUAUUAACUUCAUUUGGGUCACGUAACUGUUCUGGUAGAAUCAGAUCACCUUUUCUAUUGAUGUUAACAUUAUAUUUAAUGUGUUUCCAAAGAAUUUUUGCAUUUUUUAAAUUUUGAUUAAUAAAAGUUUCGAAAUAAGCCUUUUUUUCAUUUUUAAUUGAAACACGAACUAUAUUUUUCAAAUCUUUAUAAUAAUUAAUGUGCGCGUCUAUUUUACUUUUACGUGCUCUUAUAUGCGCAAUAUCCCGUAGUCUCAUCAUAAACUUAAUAAUAGAUGUGAUCCAGGGAUAAUGACGGAACUUAGAGUGCAAGGAUUUUAGAGGUGCAAGUGUGUCAUAAAUGCGUCGAAUCUCUGUAUUAAAUUGCCCUACCAUAUCAUCUACGCAUUGAAGUCCGGCAAUGCAGUCCCAGUUCACAAGUGCCAGACAUUUGUCUAAUUCACUUGGAUCUAUAGAUGUAAUGUCCCUGUAAAAAAAUGUUUUUG